rnacentral:lncRNA from 1 species
UUUGAGCUUUUGAGGCUAGAAUCAGAAAGUUCAGGAUUUUGGGUAUAAUUUGGGUGAAGAGUUUGUAUGAUUUCGAGUUUUUGUGAAGAAGAUAUAGGUGUUCAAAGUUAAGGUGUCAAAUUUGUACCUACUGUCACUCAUUGAAGCAUAACAUAUGCGUACGGAGAGCAAUGAAAGAUCGGCGACUAGAAUUGAAGAAGACACUUUCUUGGCUAUACUUUAUAUAUAUUUUUUGAUGAAUUCCAAGUCUGGAUGAAGGAGUUAUAGACAUUUGAAGACAGCACAUGUAAUUCAAAGGCAGUAAGUGAGUCAUUUUGUU